GAUGAACGCUGGCGGCGUGCCUAAUACAUGCAAGUCGAACGCUGGAGAUCUAGCUUGCUAGAUCGAAGGAGUGGCGAACGGGUGAGUAAUACAUAAGCAACCUACCCACGAAGACUGGGAUAAUCUCUGGAAACGGGGACUAAUACCGGAUAGGUAAUCGGAAGGCAUCUUCUGGUUAUUAAAGGUUAAAAACACUGGUGGAUGGGCUUAUGGCGCAUUAGUUAGUUGGUGAGGUAACGGCCCACCAAGACGAUGAUGCGUAGCCGGCCUGAGAGGGUGAACGGCCAGAUUGGGACUGAGACACGGCCCAGACGCAUACGGGAGGCAGCAGUAGGGAAUUUUCGGCAAUGGGGGCAAACCUGAGCGAGCAGCGCCGCGUGAGUGAAGACGGCCUUCGGGUUGUAAAGCUCUGUUGUAAGGGAAGAACGGUAGAUAGAGAAUAUCUAAGUGACGGUACCUUACCAGAAAGCCACGGCUAACUACGUG
rnacentral:rRNA from 1 species